rnacentral:rRNA from 1 species
AUUUUAAGCAACGCUUCUAGCUUAAUCCACAUAACUGAUACUUCGUAUCGACUUUGUGCGCAUUUUGCUAUUAUGUGUUCUUUUAAUUAAAAUGAUUCUUUUUAAGGACUUUCUUUGCUUCGGCUUGGAAGUCCUUGUUACUUUGAGUAAAUUAGAGUGUUCAAAGCAAACAGAUAUAGCAUUGCGCGUUUGAAUACUACAGCAUGGAAUAACAAAAUUGAACAAGUCAGAAUUUUGUUCUUUUUUCUUAUUUUGGCUUAGUUACGAUUAAUAGGAGUAGCUUGGGGGCAUUUGUAUUCAGAUGUCAGAGGUGAAAUUCUUAGAUUUUCUGGAGACAAACAACUGCGAAAGCAUUUGCCUAAAAUACUUCCAUUAAUCAAGAACGAAAGUUAAGGGAGUGAAGACGAUCAGAUACCGUCGUAAUCUUAACCAUAAACUAUGCCGACUAGGCUUUGGAUGAAAGAUUUUAAAAUAAGAAUUUUCUCUUCGGAGUUUAUUCUUAGAUUGCUUCCUUCAGUGCCUUAUGAGAAAUCAAAGUCUUUGGGUUCUGGGGCGAGUAUUCGCGCAAGCGAGAAAGUUAAAAGAAUUGACGGAAGGGCACCACCAGGCGUGGAGCUUGCGGCUUAAUUUGACUCAACACGGGAAAACUCACUAGUUUAAGACAAGAGUAGGAUUGACAGAUUAAUAGCUCUUUCUUGAUUUCUUGGAUGGUGAUGCAUGGCCGUUUUUAGUUCGUGAAUAUGAUUUGUCUGGUUAAUUCCGAUAACGAACGAGAUCUUAACCUGCUAAUUAGCGGCAAAUACGAUAUAUUCUUACGUGGGACUGAAUUCGGUUGAUUUGCUUACUUUGAAGAAAAUAUUGGGAAACGUAACAGUUUCCCUUUCCCUUUUCUACUUAGUUCGCUUWUCAUACUGUUUCUUUUUCGCGUAAGAAUGUAUUUGCUUGAUUGUAAAGCUUCUU